CUACGGCCCUGCUUCAGACAGUAUCUUCCCUCAUCGAGAUGAUCCCUUCCAAGUCCUAGCCUUCUUCUAAUUUCGAGACUGCAAUCUCAUGUCCCCCAAAUCCCACAGUAAACCAUUCAGAGAAUUCUGAGCAUUAUAGGCUAACAAAUAACCUUUCCAGGCUCUGGUUUUAGGAAGACGAGACCAUAGCACUGCCCAUAAGAGAGUCCAAGUGUUUCAGUUCCCAGCCCCCAUCCUUUCCACACCACUUCCUUGUUUGUCCCCGAAACUCAAGAAUGUGAAACUCCUCCAAUGGUCUCAGCUUUAACCCUUAAUUCCUGAGAAGAGAAUGUCCCUGGGAGUAGUAGAGAAUGUGGAAUUUAAGGCUGCUUGCUAUUCCUAAAGGCCUUCAACAAUAGAAUAAAUCCUACUGAAUGCAAUGAGACCUAGCGUCAAAGAUUUUCCGAGAGGUAGAUCAGUUUGUCUCUUGACUGGAAAACCAACAACAAAUAGUCUAGUGGCACCUCAAAGACUUCACUAGUUUUAUUUGGGACAUGUUUUUAUGGACCACAAUCAGAACCACAGUUUGCUGCCUCAGAUAUAUAGGAGUCAGGAGAUUGAGUGGGCAUUUAAACGUACAUGGCUGAAACAUUUCUUCUUAUUCUGGUCAUUAACAAACAGUAGUUAAGACUGCUGUGAGUUUUCCAGGCUGUAUGGCCAUGUUCCAGAAGCGUUCUGUCCUGACGUUUCGCCCACAUCUAUGUCAGGCAUCCUCAGAGGUUGUGAGGUCUGUUGGAAACUAGGUAAGUGGGGUUUAUCUAUCUGUGGAAUGUCCAGGGUGGGAGUAGUCAGGAUGUAACAUAGAUAUUCUUACCUCAGAUGAACAGGCUAAUAUAGAUGAGAAGAUUUUGGGUGCAUCUCUACACUGUAGAAUUAAUACAGUUUGACAUCACCUUAACUGCCAUGUCUCACUGCUAUGGAAUCAAAUUAAUUUUAGUUUGGCGAAGCACUAGCACUCCUUGGCAGAGAUAAAGACCUCGUAAAACUACAACUUUCAUUUUGUGUGUGUCAGGAAUGACUUGAGAAACUGCAAGUCGCUUCUGGUGUGAGAGAAUUGGACAUCUGCAAGGACAUUGCCCAGGGGACGGUAGGACAUUUGAUGAUUUACCAUCCUUGUGGGAGGCUUCUCUUAUGUCCCCGCAUGGAGAGCUGGAGCUGACAGAGCGAGCUCACCCUGGAUUCGAACCGCUGACCUGCCUGUCAGCAGUCCUACUGGCACAACUCCCAUGAUUCUAUAGCAUUGAACCAUGGUAGUUAAAGUGGUGCUAAACUAUAAUAUAGAUGUACCCAGAGACAGAGGAUGUGAAAAUUAUCUUUCUUCCCAUUAUGAAAUUACAAGAACCAUUCCUUUCUCUUGUAAUGCCUUACGGGGCAGAAACUCAAGUAGGUUGGAAAGAAUAUAGGCUAGAUAAAUUAAGCAGUAUAGCCUUGCUUAGGAGAGAAACAUUCAGCUCCGUUUCCUUGUUGUAGGAGAGGUGGGAUCAGGGUAUUUGCAGAACAAGGAAGUGGGCCCAUUGUUUGGACCCCCUGGUGGGUGUAAAUUACCCACCUUGUUGGGGCAUGACAAUGAACCAUUGAAAUGGGUCCAGCUAGAAGAUCCGGCCCUUUCAUGUCUCUGGGUGGAGGUUGGGACAAGGAAGAACAACAACAAUGGAACAAAGAAACACAGUUGGGAUGGGGGAAGGAAAGAAAAUAGCCAGUUUUAAAAACUUUAACUGCCAUGGGUCAAAAAGUAUAACAGAGUCUGUACUUUUUUUUAGAAGGAAAACAAAAAAACCCCAAGAGAUGGAACUUUCUGUAGAAUUGGAGAAAUAGCUUUGUUACAGCAGUGAUAAACGAGAUGUUUGAGGAGCCCACAGUGGCACAGCAGGUUACAGCGCAGUUCGAAAACAUGCAAAUGUGAGUAGAUCAAUAGGUACCACUCCGGUGGGAAGGUAAUGGCGGGCCAUGCAGUCAUGCCAGCCACAUGACCUUGGAGGUGUCUACAGACAACACCAGCUCUUCAGCUUAGAAAUUGAGAUGAGCAACACCCCUCCAGGGUCAGACACGACUAGACUUAAUGUCAGGGGAAAACCUUUACCUUUAUCUAAACUAGAUGUUCAUGGUCUCUACAUCUCCCACCCACCAGGGAUGAUGGUUUUGGAAUUCAAAAACAUCUGGAGAGCUACACAUCACUCUCUGCUGAUAUAUGAGGUUCUAGGGCCCCACACAGUUAUAGUGCUGUGAUUCCACUUUGACUGUUCAUCCUGUGGUUUCGUAGUUACGUUAUUCCCCCCCCCCCCCGAAAGCUGGAGCUGACAGACACGAGCUCACCCACUCCCUUGAUUUGAACUGCCGACCUUUCGCUCAGCAAUCCUACCGGCACAAGGGUUUAAUCCACUGUGCCACUGGGGGGUUCCUAGUUACACUACUGAAAUGCUAGAGCAAGGGUUUUCCAAAUUCCAGCCAGCUUCUCCAAUGCUCAGGAAUUCUGGAAGCUGAAGUCCAAAACACCUAGACGAACAAAAUUUGGGAAUCUAAGCACUCUAGUUAACACUUUAAAAGGUCAGUAGAAGGCUUCAGUCAUGUAGGGUAUAAACUCAGGCAGGAGCCGCAGUGGCACAAUGGGCUAAACCCUUGUGCCAGCUGAACUUCUGACCUCAAGGUUACCAGUUCAAAUCCACAAGAUGGGGUGAGCUCCUGUCUGUCAGCUCUAGCUUGCGAGGACAUGAGAUAAGCCUCCCAGCUAACACAUCCCAGGGUCUCCUGGACAAUGUCUCUUUAGACGGUCGAUUCUCUCACAUCAGAAGCGAUUUGUAAUAUGUUCUCAGGUUGCUUCUGACACGAUUAAAAAAUAACUCAGGUGAACUCAAUCGUGUUAAUAUCUAAGGGUGUGUCUACACUGUAGAAUUGAUAUAGUUUGACACCACUUUCAUUGACAUGGCUCAAUACUAUUGGAUCAUGGGAAUGGUAGUUUUACAAAGUCUUUAGACUUCUUAGCCAAAAAAAUGCCUGUGUUUCACUAAGCUACAAAUUUCAGGAUUCUAUAGCAUUGAACCAGUGAACAUGAAUUGCACAAUAUAGAUACACCUAAGUUAACAGAACUAGGGCUGGAUCUACACUGCUGUAUAAUUCAAUUAAUCUACAUUCUGAAACUGCAUUAUAUGGUAGUGUAGAUCCAGUCCAGGUUACACAACUCGAGUAGGAAUCAUUACAUAUCAAACAUAUUAUUUUUACUACUACUACUACUACCACCACUGCUACAAUUACUAUUAUCAUGUUUUAUUUCCAUUCUAGGACUCAAGGCAACUUACAAAAAAUUGAUAGAGUGACAAAAAAGUACAUCACAUAAAAGUUUAAAAUUUAAUUAACAGAAUUAAAAACAGCUAAAAGCAUAAACAUUAGAAAGAACAAGAACAGCCACCAACAACACAGCACAUGUAAGUCCCUUUAUUCUUCCAAUGCCUGCCAAAACAAACAGGGUUUACCUGCAUAUGAAAUCAUAGCAAGGAGGCAAUGUUCCCACCAGAGAGGGUAGAAGGGCCUCACCAGAAGAUUUCCCAAGGCAUAUAUAGCUUGUAUAGAGAGAUGUGAUCCUUUCACACAGCAAGGCAUUUUUACUCUUCUAAAUUUCUAGGAUAUGGCACAAGGCUUUACGAAAGAAAUCUCAUUUUUUUUGGGUCCUGUUCAUUUCCCAAAAUGAUCACCACCUGCUUUUGUGGUCUCGGUACUUUCUUUUGCAAUAACACUGCGGCCCAACAUUCUGGUCUUAUAAUAUCAGAUAUGUGUUCCAAACAAAUGGAUAAAAAGCUGGAUUGCAAUAGCUACUUACCCCGUAUACUCUUCCACACUUCCAGAUGCACAUUUAUGUCCCAGGCCACUAUUUCAAAAUGAUUUCAUAAAUGACGGUGAUUUUAUACAAAGUCAAUGCAACAGGCAUCCUAGACAUCCGUUUCUCUAUGCUUAAAGUCUCACAACAGUGCAACAUGUUUUUAUGACCUGUGGUUUUAUAAAGGGUUUUUAUUGCUUGUUUUAUUGUUUUAGUGUGCAAAUAUUAUUUCAAAUGCCUGGGUGCAUGAGUAAACUAUCCACCUCAUCACAGAGGCUGUUUUUUAGUGGCAGCGAUGGAUUUUGGGCGGUUUUGUCACAGACGGCUCCCAUCACACCCUGGAGAAGUACUUUCGGAGCUGCUCCGUGGUGAAACUGUCAAAAAAAAAACCUGCUGCCACCACUGAAAAAUAGCCGACAGCAAAAGAUUGGAGGCAUCCCGUCUUUUCAUAGGAAUCCACAGGGACAGGGAGCUUCCUGAAGUGAUGAGGCGGGGAAAAUCCGGGAUGGCGUAGGGCACAGGGCGACAAGUCCUCACACUCCCUGGGUGGGCGAUGUUGAGAUUACUGAGAUCUGUGAUGAUACGUGGUGAUUUGGGUGGCACGUGUGAAGAGGUCUUUGUUCCCUGUUUCAAAGAAACCAGCUCCAAACUGACCCGUGAUGUCUGCAUUCUGCUUUUGGACAGUCAACUUCUCUUUUUGGGGAGUUUCACCUGUAUUACAUAUCAAGGGAACUCUAAAGAAGAGAGAAGUAAAUCAUUGGGAUUGAACUCUUUGAGGUUUUCUACCUCCAACAAAGGCUAGAUCUGCACUACCAUAUAAAAUGACCUUGGAGAUGUCUAUGGCCAACAUCGGCUCUUCAGCUUAGAAAUGGAGAUGAGCAUCAACCCCCAGAGUCGGACACAACUGGACUUAAUGUCGGGGAAAAGCUUUACCUUUACCUAUAGUUUAUAGUAUCUUUGACUGAUGAAAAAGCCAGUGAAGCUUCAAAUGCUUAUAUGCCAUAUUUCAUGCUUUGGAGUUGGCCCAAUAAAGAUAUUGUUGCUUGUGGGUCUUGUAUUUUUUCCUGAAUAUUAUUUGUCUUGUUUGUUUUGUUUUGCAAGAAGCCCCCAUUCCACCUACUUUACCGACACCGGGAAAACCACAGCAGAAGCAGAAUUCUAGCUUUUGAAAAAGCACAAUCAGAGCAGCCAUGACCAUUUUAGGCUUGGGAGAGGCCUUUAAAAACAGGAAUUGAGCAGAAUAAUGUCCUGCACACUUCCUAUUUCAACAAAGGCCCCUCCUGGGCUUCAAUUAGCCUAAAGAGGCAGCAAAAUAGGAUGAAAGGGACGCUAUGCCUCCUAGUGGACAUUUUGCAGGCAUUUCUGGACAAUUUGGGGGAAGGCCGAUAAUUUUAAAAACGUUUUUGUGACAAGUAAUGUCUUUAACCUUGGGAGCUCCAGGGGCUUCCAAAUGUAGUAUCCCCACAGUUCUUUUCAGGGGCUUUGGGUGCAUUCUGGAACAAAAACAAUAUAUGUUGAUUUCUAUGGCCACAAAAAAUAGGAAGUGCCGUCAAACUGUAUUAAUUCUAUGCUGUAGAUGCAGCCUAGUACUAACUGGCAAACUGCCUCUCGUAUUUCAGGCAAUAUCCAUUAACUUAACUAGUAUCGAUUGAUAGCCUACAUUAAUUUGUCUAAUCACCUUUAUUAAAAGCCAUCUAGAUGACAUGACUUGAACAGACCUUCAAACUGAUCCAGCAAGGCUCAUGUUAUGUUCUUACACUCAUCUUCAUUUAAGUCCCACAAAAUCAGGGGCAAACUAGAGCAAAGAACAAUGAAGCUGAAAAUCUAUGAUGCAGUACAGAACCUUCCAUCCUGAAAACACGAAGUGCUCCACUGAAGUCUUGAAAUCUUAUCCAAGAAACCCUGGGUCAACUUAUCUCCUGGUCAAUGACGUGGCAGGAGAAAUACAACACACUGGAAACCAUAUGCUGUUGAGGAAACAUGAUGACGAUGACUAUUUUCCCCUCCUGUGUCACUUGUCCUCUCAUCCAGAACUGAUACCGUGGGAUUGCUCAACAGCUAUAGAGAAACUAGGCUACGUAAUUGCAAAACGGUAUUGUUUUUCUGCACUUGGCACAAGACACUUAAUCUAUAGAUAUAAAGGUCAAAGUUUGAUGUGUGUA